UUUGCUCACACCAAUGAAGAACUAAGGCCACUGUAUGUGUCCACUGGAUCUGCUGUCCCUUCCCCACGGUCAAUUGGGUCAGCACCAACUGUAAUGGAUAUGGCCACUGCAUUGGGUCUUCUUCCUGGUUCUCCCUCAUCGAUGUCUGCUUUAUCCCCAUCUCCAUUUACUCAAUCCAUGUCACCCUCAUCUAAUGGCGUAUCUCACUCUUCUGUGAACUGGCAGCAGCCUAAUGUGCCGACCCUUCAUCUUCCAGGAAGUAACCUUCAAU
rnacentral:lncRNA from 1 species